GAGCGCCUGCGGUGUUGGUGAACUUCGAGCUAAUUCGAACCGAACACCAAUUCACAUUGGGAGUUCAAAAUUGAAAUGUCUACAGCAUGCCUCGUAAGCUGAGGAAGCUGGAAACAUUUCUGCGAGCACCCACCUGCUUAGCGCGGGUUCGUGAUGUCUUUGGAGAUAACCGCAUUCGCGGGCUUUCA
rnacentral:other from 1 species